rnacentral:tRNA from 1 species
GCCUGGCUGGCUCAGUUGGUAGAGCAUGUGAUUCUUGAUCUCAGGGUUGUGAGUUUGAGCCCCACAUUGGGUA